rnacentral:rRNA from 1 species
GAUGAACGCUGGCGGCGUGCCUAAUACAUGCAAGUCGAGCGAACAGAUGAGGAGCUCGCUCCUCUGACGUUACCGGCGGACGGGUGAGUAACACGUGCAUAACCUACCUAUAAGACUGGGAUAACUUCGGGAAACCUGAGCUAAUACCCGAUAAUAUAUUGAAACGCAUGGACCUAUAGUGAAAGACGGUUUUGAUGUCACUUAUAGAUGGAUCCGCGUCGCAUUAGCUAGUUGGUAGGGUAACGGCUUACCAAGGCAACGAUGCGUAGCCGACCUGAGAGGGUGACCAGCCACACUGGAACUGAGACACGGUCCAGACUCCUACGGGAGGCAGCAGUAGGGAAUCUUGCGCAAUGGGCGAAAGCCUGACGGAGCAACGCCGCGUGAAGGAUGAAGGUCUUCGGAUUGUAAAAUGCUGUUAUUAGGGAAGAAAAAGUUUUGAAUAAACUAUGCACGUCUUGACGGUACCGAAACAAAAAGCCACGGCUAACUACGUG